AGAAAGAAAGGAAAAAAGAAAAAGAAAAAAGAAAAGAAGAAAGAAAGAGGAAAGAAGAAGAUAUCCCGAAGUGUUCUUUUUCAUUUUUUUUUCAUUUUUAUUUAUUAUUUUUUGAAAAUAAAACAAUCUUUUUGUUUUAAAAA
rnacentral:ribozyme from 1 species